rnacentral:rRNA from 1 species
AUAAGACUGGGAUAACUUCGGGAAACCGGAGCUAAUACCGGAUAAUAUUUUGAACCGCAUGGUUCAAAAGUGAAAGACGGUCUUGCUGUCACUUUUAGAUGGAUCCGCGCUGCAUUAGCUAGUUGGUAAGGUAACGGCUUACCAAGGCAACGAUGCAUAGCCGACCUGAGAGGGUGAUCGGCCACACUGGAACUGAGACACGGUCCAGACUCCUACGGGAGGCAGCAGUAGGGAAUCUUCCGCAAUGGGCGAAAGCCUGACGGAGCAACGCCGCGUGAGUGAUGAAGGUCUUCGGAUCGUAAAACUCUGUUAUUAGGGAAGAACAUAUGUGUAAGUAACUGUGCACAUCUUGACGGUACCUAAUCAGAAAGCCCCGGCUAACUACGUGCCAGCAGCCGCGGUAAUACGUAGGUGGCAAGCGUUAUCCGGAAUUAUUGGGCGUAAAGCGCGCGUAGGCGGUUGUUUAAGUCUGAUGUGAAAGCCCACGGCUCAACCGUGGAGGGUCAUUGGAAACUGGAAAACUUGAGUGCAGAAGAGGAAAGUGGAAUUCCAUGUGUAGCGGUGAAAUGCGCAGAGAUAUGGAGGAACACCAGUGGCGAAGGCGACUUUUUGGUCUGUAACUGACGCUGAUGUGCGAAAGCGUGGGGAUCAAACAGGAUUAGAUACCCUGGUAGUCCACGCCGUAAACGAUGAGUGCUAAGUGUUAGGGGGUUUCGCCCCUUAGUGCUGCAGCUAACGCAUUAAGCACUCCGCCUGGGGAGUACGACCGCAAGGUUGAAACUCAAAGGAAUUGACGGGGACCCGCACAAGCGGUGGAGCAUGUGGUUUAAUUCGAAGCAACGCGAAGAACCUUACCAAAUCUUGACAUCCUUUGACAACUCUAGAGAUAGAGCCUUCCCCUUCGGGGGACAAAGUGACAGGUGGUGCAUGGUUGUCGUCAGCUCGUGUCGUGAGAUGUUGGGUUAAGUCCCGCAACGAGCGCAACCCUUAAGCUUAGUUGCCAUCAUUAAGUUGGGCACUCUAAGUUGACUGCCGGUGACAAACCGGAGGAAGGUGGGGAUGACGUCAAAUCAUCAUGCCCCUUAUGAUUUGGGCUACACACGUGCUACAAUGGACAAUACAAAGGGCAGCGAAACCGCGAGGUCAAGCAAAUCCCAUAAAGUUUUUUUCAGUUCGGAUUGUAGUCUGCAACUCGACUACAUGAAGCUGGAAUCGCUAGUAAUCGUAGAUCAGCAUGCUACGGUGAAUACGUUCCCGGGUCUUGUACACACCCCC